rfam:Salmo salar isolate Sally breed double haploid chromosome ssa15, whole genome shotgun sequence.
UGCAUUCACUACUGUAAGUCGCUCUGGAUAAAAGCGCCUGCUAAAUGACGUAAA